AUGGCUGCCGCCCGCCAAGGGAUAAUGCAAAUGCAUGAUGAUCGGUAGAAGCUUCUAUUAUCGACAUUAAGGCCAAUAAUCAGCUAUGUCGUCGUGUUUAGAAGCUUGUUAUUAUAUAUCCACGUAAAUAAGGCCGAUUAUCAGGUGUGUUGUAAGGCCAAUAAUCAGACCCGCGUGUAUUUGUAACAUAGAAGCUUGUAUUAUCAACAAUAAGGCCUGUAAUCAGAUAUGUCGUGUUUAGAAGCUUAA